rnacentral:rRNA from 1 species
GGUUAAGCGAAUAAGCGUACACGGUGGAUGCCUAGGCAAUCAGAGGCGAUGAAGGACGUGCUAAUCUGCGAAAAGCGUCGGUAAGGUGAUAUGAACCGUUAUACCCGACGAUAUCCGAAUGGGGAAACCCAGUAUCCAAUGGAUACUAUCAUUAACUGAAUCCAUAGGUUAAUGAGGCGAACCGGGAGAACUGAAACAUCUCAGUACCCCGAGGAAAAGAAAUCAACCGAGAUUCCCCUAGUAGCGGCGAGCGAACGGGGAGCAGCCCAGAGUCUUAAUCAAUAACAGUGUCAGGAGAACGGUCUGGAAAGUCCGGCAGUAAAGGGUGAUAGCCCCGUAUCUGAAGAUGCUGUUGUUGUGAACUCGACGAGUAGGGCGGGACACGUGUUAUCCUGUCUGAAUAUGGGGGGACCAUCCUCCAAGGCUAAAUACUCCUGAUUGACCGAUAGUGAACCAGUACCGUGAGGGAAAGGCGAAAAGAACCCCGGCGAGGGGAGUGAAAAAGAACCUGAAACCGUGUACGUACAAGCAGUAGGAGCCUCUUUAUGGGGUGACUGCGUACCUUUUGUAUAAUGGGUCAGCGACUUAUAUUCUGUAGCAAGGUUAACCGUAUAGGGGAGCCGUAGGGAAACCGAGUCUUAACUGGGCGAAUGAGUUGCAGGGUAUAGACCCGAAACCCGGUGAUCUAUCCAUGGGCAGGUUGAAGGUUGGGUAACACUAACUGGAGGACCGAACCGACUAAUGUUGAAAAAUUAGCGGAUGACUUGUGGAUGGGGGUGAAAGGCCAAUCAAACCGGGAGAUAGCUGGUUCUCCCCGAAAGCUAUUUAGGUAGCGCCUCGUGAACUCAUCUUCGGGGGUAGAGCACUGUUUCGACUAGGGGGUCAUCCCGACUUACCAACUCGAUGCAAACUGCGAAUACCGAAGAAUGUUAUCACGGGAGACACACGGCGGGUGCUAACGUCCGUCGUGAAGAGGGAAACAACCCAGACCGCCAGCUAAGGUCCCAAAGUCAUGGUUAAGUGGGAAACGAAGUGGGAAGGCUCAGACAGCCAGGAUGUUGGCUUAGAAGCAGCCAUCAUUUAAAGAAAGCGUAAUAGCUCACUGGUCGAGUCGGCCCGCGCGGAAGAUGUAACGGGGCUAAACCAUGCACCGAAGCUGCGGCAGCGACACAUAGUGUUGUUGGGUAGGGGAGCGUUCUGUAAGCCUGCGAAGGUGUACUGUGAGGUAUGCUGGAGGUAUCAGAAGUGCGAAUGCUGACAUAAGUAACGAUAAUGCGGGUGAAAAACCCGCACGCCGGAAGACCAAGGGUUCCUGUCCAACGUUAAUCGGGGCAGGGUGAGUCGACCCCUAAGGCGAGGCUGAAAAGCGUAGUCGAUGGGAAACGGGUUAAUAUUCCCGUACUGGUGGUAACUGCGAUGGGGGAACGGAGAAGGCUAGGUUGUCCGGGCGACGGUCGUCCCGGUUCAAGCAGGUAGGCAGAGUGAUUAGGCAAAUCCGGUCACUUAAUGCUGAGAUGUGAUGACGAACCACCAAGGUGGUGAAGCAAUUGAUGCCCCGCUUCCAGGAAAAGCCUCUAAGCUUCAGGUUACCAACAAUCGUACCCCAAACCGACACAGGUGGUCAGGUAGAGAAUACUCAGGCGCUUGAGAGAACUCGGGUGAAGGAACUAGGCAAAAUGGUGCCGUAACUUCGGGAGAAGGCACGCUGGCGGUAGGUAAAGUCCCUCGCGGACGGCGCUGAAGCCAGUCGAAGAUACCAGCUGGCUGCAACUGUUUAUUAAAAACACAGCACUGUGCAAACACGAAAGUGGACGUAUACGGUGUGACGCCUGCCCGGUGCUGGAAGGUUAAUUGAUGGGGUCAGCCGUAAGGCGAAGCUCCUGAUCGAAGCCCCAGUAAACGGCGGCCGUAACUAUAACGGUCCUAAGGUAGCGAAAUUCCUUGUCGGGUAAGUUCCGACCUGCACGAAUGGCGUAAUGAUGGCCAGGCUGUCUCCACCCGAGACUCAGUGAAAUUGAACUCGCUGUGAAGAUGCAGUGUACCCGCGGCAAGACGGAAAGACCCCGUGAACCUUUACUAUAGCUUGACACUGAACAUUGAGCCUUGAUGUGUAGGAUAGGUGGGAGGCUUUGAAGUGUGGACGCCAGUCUGCAUGGAGCCAACCUUGAAAUACCACCCUUUAACGUUUGAUGUUCUAACCUAGGCCCAUAAACUGGGUCGGGGACCGUGUCUGGUGGGUAGUUUGACUGGGGCGGUCUCCUCCUAAAGAGUAACGGAGGAGCACGAAGGUUGGCUAAGCAUGGUCGGACAUCAUGCGGUUAGUGCAAAGGCAUAAGCCAGCUUGACUGCGAGAGUGACGGCUCGAGCAGGUACGAAAGUAGGUCUUAGUGAUCCGGUGGUUCUGAAUGGAAGGGCCAUCGCUCAACGGAUAAAAGGUACUCCGGGGAUAACAGGCUGAUACCGCCCAAGAGUUCAUAUCGACGGCGGUGUUUGGCACCUCGAUGUCGGCUCAUCACAUCCUGGGGCUGAAGUAGGUCCCAAGGGUAUGGCUGUUCGCCAUUUAAAGUGGUACGCGAGCUGGGUUUAGAACGUCGUGAGACAGUUCGGUCCCUAUCUGCCGUGGGCGUUGGAAGAUUGAGAGGGGUUGCUCCUAGUACGAGAGGACCGGAGUGAACGCACCACUGGUGUUCGGGUUGUCAUGCCAAUGGCAUUGCCCGGUAGCUAAGUGCGGAAGAGAUAACCGCUGAAAGCAUCUAAGCGGGAAACUUGCCUCGAGAUGAGUCUUCCCUGUCGCUUUAAGCGACCUAAAGGAACGUUUAAGACUAAGACGUUGAUAGGCUGGGUGUGUAAGCGUAGCGAUACGUUGAGCUAACCAGUACUAAUGAACCGUGAGGCUUAACCUG